CCACCCAAUACCUCUAGCUGAGUCAGAUGGAGGCACUGGUGGUGAAGGAACUGUAGGUGGUGCUGGAGCUACUUUACUUGUUGCAGAUCGACCACCAACUGCACAAACAAAUAUCUCCAUUAGUUAGAAUUUCAGAGUCACCAAAAACAGGAUUUUCCACCUUAUCUGCUGAUCCAGGUGGCAACUUCUUAUGCUGUAUUUCACUGGCUGCGUACCCAGCAGCCUUUGUAGCAGCUUUCCGACGUUUACUGUUUGUGGAUGAGAUAAAAUAUCCCAUUUUUAUUACUGACUCAAACUGAACCAGAGAAUUGGUCUGUACGUAAAAUCUCAGGCCUUGUGGCUGGCAGAUUUAUCAACAUCCUCCCAAUGGCCUGUACUUGAGAGCAAUUAGCUUUUCUCUUCUCCGAGAUGGAGGCCUGGAUUGUCUACUCAGCAUGUCACAGCUGAUAGUGAGCUCAAGGAUGUUAUCAACAACUGGUUGAAGCACAAGGUGGCAUCAUUCUUUGGUGAAGGAGUAAAGAAGAUGGUAUCAUGGUUUGAUAAAUGUUUCAAUUUUGAUAGUGACUCCAUCAAAAAGUAAUGACAACAUGUUGGUACAGACUUUAUAUAAACUAAAAUUUACCUAUUUUUCCU